CACCCCGUAGCUCAGGGGUUAGAGCGCUCGCCUGGCAAGCGAGGGGGACCCGGGUUCGAUUCCCGGGCGGGUCA